rnacentral:rRNA from 1 species
UACGUAGGGGGCAAGCGUUGUCCGGAUUUAUUGGGCGUAAAGAGCGUGUAGGCGGCUAGGUAGGUCCGUUGUGAAAACUCGAGGCUCAACCUCGAGACGUCGAUGGAAACCAUCUAGCUAGAGUCCGGAAGAGGAGAGUGGAAUUCCUGGUGUAGCGGUGAAAUGCGCAGAUAUUGGGAAGAACACCAGUGGCGAAGGCGGUUCUCUGGGACGGUACUGACGCUGAGACGCGAAAGCGUGGGGAGCGAACAGG